UCUGCAACAGAAUUAUCCAUGGGAAAAAAAACUAAAAAUAUUCAAAUACAAGACAUUAUUAACAUAAAUGCACUUACAUGAUCUAAAAAGCAAAAUUAACAGAUACUCUUCAGAAAUCUCAAAGUUGACAAGUUUUUCAUAAUUGCAAGAUUGAGUUCAUGUCCACCGAUCAAUGUUAUUGUAAGUUCAUAAUUUUAUCAACACAAUCAAUUAUAUUACUAAUGUCGUAGGUUGCCCAUAGUGGCUAAAUUGAUAUGGAUUGUGCUACUUGUACAUUAAAAUUGUACAUAAGGGGUUACAUAAUAUGAUGUGUUGGAUGAAAAAGUUGACUAUGUUUUGAACUAACAAAUGGUAAAGUGACGCACGGCAUUAUGUAACCUAUUAGGUAAUCCCUGAAGUACAUAUAGCAAGAUCCAAUUGGUAUAUUAUAUUCUCCUAGAUUAUCAACAAAAUCCAUAAUUUUAAGCUGCAAUUAAGUUUUUAACAGCCUAAUCAUGUAUACAAUUGGGUUUUUCACACUUAUUUAAGUUCACAGUGUUAUUUUUUGUAGUGGAAAAAAUAACCAUAAAACAAUCAUAGAAUUACUGAACAUGCGUAUUCUAUAAUGCGUAUUGCUGUCUGGAUGGGUUUUACAUGCUCUGAAAAUAUUAUCCAACCGGGAUCGAUAAGGUUUAAAGUUUUUGAAUACAGCUUGAUAUGCAUGACAGUAUAUUUGAUACGUUUCCUUCAUCUUCAUAUCUUAUAAUACAUAUUUGCCGGCAAAUACAAGAUAAUUCACCGCAAGAAGGUUGUAGUCACCAGCUAUAUACUAAAAUAGGGCAGCAGGAAUGGUGCAAUCGUUGCACUGAUUAGAUUAGCUUAAUAAAAGUACAGAAAAAAGUCCGUAGAAAACCAAAUUAAAUAGAGGAUUGUUUACGAGCACAAGACACGAACCAAGUACCAAACAAAAGCAGGUUUCAUUUUACAAUUGUGUAUUUUACUAUCUCCAAUCGUCAAUUCUUGAAUUAAUUGAAAAAAUCAAAUAAAGGUUUCAAAGUCAAUUAAUUCAACCGCUUCAGACAUUAAUUGGAAUCGUGAAUUGAAAAUUGUUAAAGCCAGUUUCCCUAAAUUUCAAAAACACACUCCCGUAAGAAACGAACGAGUGUGUGUGUGUGUGUAUGUAUCACGCGCACAGCAGAGAGAUGAGGAAGAAAAACCUAACCCGAACGAAGCGAAGCUUUGAAUGAAGAGCAGGUAGCGAUCGAGAAAAUAGGAGCACUCUGGACAGAACUACGAAUUUGGGAAAUUAGAAGGUAGAAAACCAAAUUAAAUAGAGGAUUGUUUACGAGCACAAGACACGAACCAAGUACCAAACAAAAGCAGGUUUCAUUUUACAAUUGUGUAUUUUACUAUCUCCAAUCGUCAAUUCUUGAAUUAAUUGAAAAAAUCAAAUAAAGGUUUCAAAGUCAAUUAAUUCAACCGCUUCAGACAUUAAUUGGAAUCGUGAAUUGAAAAUUGUUAAAGCCAGUUUCCCUAAAUUUCAAAAACACACUCCCGUAAGAAACGAACG
rnacentral:lncRNA from 1 species